rnacentral:rRNA from 1 species
AGUAACGCGUGAGCAAUCUGCCCAUAUCAGGGGAAUAACAGUUAGAAAUGACUGCUAAUACCGCAUAGGACCACGGGGAGGCAUCUCUCUGAGGUGAAAGAUUUAUCGGAUAUGGAUGAGCUCGCGUCCCAUUAGGUAGUUGGUGAGGUAACGGCCCACCAAGCCGACGAUGGGUAGCCGGCCUUAGAGGGUGAUCGGCCACAUUGGAACUGAGACACGGUCCAAACUCCUACGGAAGGCAGCAG